rnacentral:tRNA from 1 species
UAAAGGUUAGUUAAACUAUAAUAUAAGCUUGUCAUGCUUAAUUUAUCUAUCCCUAGAUACCUUUAA